rnacentral:rRNA from 1 species
GACGAACGCUGGCGGCGUGCUUAACACAUGCAAGUCGAACGAAGUGGCGAACGGGUGAGUAACGCGUAAUCAACCUGCCCUUCAGAGGGGGACAACAGUUGGAAACGACUGCUAAUACCGCAUACUGAAGGAGGGGAUUGCGUCUGCUUAGCUAGUUGGAGGGGUAACGGCCCACCAAGGCGAUGAUCAGUAGCCGGUCUGAGCGUAUGAACGGCAACAUUGGUACUGAGAGGUGGCCCAGACUCCGACGGGAGGCAGCAGUUGGGAAUGUUCCGACAUUGAGUAAAGUCGGACGGAGCAACGCCGCGUGAGUGAUGACGGCCUUAUGGAUGUAAAACUCUGUUAAUCGGGACGCGGUACCGGAAUAGAAAGCCGCGACUAAUUACGUGACAGCAGCCGCGGUAAUAC